rnacentral:rRNA from 1 species
GAUGAACGCUAGCUACAGGCUUAACACAUGCAAGUCGAGGGGAAACGGCAUUGAGUGCUUGCACUCUUUGGACGUCGACCGGCGCACGGGUGAGUAACGCGUAUCCAACCUUCCCAUUACUGUGGGAUAACCUGCCGAAAGGCAGACUAAUACCGCAUAGUCUUCGAUGACGGCAUCAGAUUUGAAGUAAAGAUUUAUCGGUAAUGGAUGGGGAUGCGUCUGAUUAGCUUGUUGGCGGGGUAACGGCCCACCAAGGCUACGAUCAGUAGGGGUUCUGAGAGGAAGGUCCCCCACAUUGGAACUGAGACACGGUCCAAACUCCUACGGGAGGCAGCAGUGAGGAAUAUUGGUCAAUGGACGGAAGUCUGAACCAGCCAAGUAGCGUGCAGGAUGACGGCCCUAUGGGUUGUAAACUGCUUUUGUAUGGGGAUAAAGUUAGGGACGUGUCCCUAUUUGCAGGUACCAUACGAAUAAGGACCGGCUAAUUCCGUGCCAGCAGCCGCGGUAAUACGGAAGGUCCAGGCGUUAUCCGGAUUUAUUGGGUUUAAAGGGAGCGUAGGCUGGAGAUUAAGUGUGUUGUGAAAUGUAGACGCUCAACGUCUGAAUUGCAGCGCAUACUGGUUUCCUUGAGUACGCACAACGUUGGCGGAAUUCGUCGUGUAGCGGUGAAAUGCUUAGAUAUGACGAAGAACUCCGAUUGCGAAGGCAGCUGACGGGAGCGCAACUGACGCUUAAGCUCGAAGGUGCGGGUAUCAAACAGGAUUAGAUACCCUGGUAGUCCGCACAGUAAACGAUGGAUGCCCGCUGUUGGUACCUGGUAUCAGCGGCUAAGCGAAAGCAUUAAGCAUCCCACCUGGGGAGUACGCCGGCAACGGUGAAACUCAAAGGAAUUGACGGGGGCCCGCACAAGCGGAGGAACAUGUGGUUUAAUUCGAUGAUACGCGAGGAACCUUACCCGGGCUUGAAUUGCUGAGGAAGGAUUUAGAGAUAAUGACGCCCUUCGGGGUCUCUGUGAAGGUGCUGCAUGGUUGUCGUCAGCUCGUGCCGUGAGGUGUCGGCUUAAGUGCCAUAACGAGCGCAACCCCUCUCUUCAGUUGCCAUCAGGUAAUGCUGGGCACUCUGGAGGCACUGCCACCGUAAGGUGUGAGGAGGGGGGGAAUGACAUCAAUUCAGCCCUGACCAUUCGUGCUGGGGCUACACACGUGUUGGAAUGGCCCAGCACCGAGGGAUGGUGUAAUGCAAAUUGCAUCCUAUCAGGACGCCCCGCUCCCGGUUGGGACUGGGGGUCUGCAUCCCGUGACCACGAAACUGGGAUCUCUAUGUAGAGAGUUUUCAGCCUGGGAGCGUUGAAUCGGUUGCCGGUCCU